UUUUUUUUUGCCUUUUGUUU
rnacentral:sRNA from 1 species